rnacentral:rRNA from 1 species
GACGAACCGUGCGAACGUUAUUCGGAAUUAUUGGGCGUAAAGAGCUCGUAGGCGGCUUGUCACGUCGGGUGUGAAAGCCCGGGGCUUAACCCCGGGUCUGCAUUCGAUACGGGCUAGCUAGAGUGUGGUAGGGGAGAUCGGAAUUCCUGGUGUAGCGGUGAAAUGCGCAGAUAUCAGGAGGAACACCGGUGGCGAAGGCGGAUCUCUGGGCCAUUACUGACGCUGAGGAGCGAAAGCGUGGGGAGCGAACAGG